CCAUCCAAAUAUUUCCACAAAAAAAGUGCUUGCCCCGCCCCAUUUUGCACCGGCCCAUCCAUCUGAUAAAUAUUGAACGGUCCCUUACUGGGGGUAAUGUCUCUAUGUGCAAUGUAAUUCUGAUGACAAAAAUCUACUGCUUUUAAGAUUUGAAUGAAAAUAUCAACAACCAAUGUAUUACAUAAAGUUUUAUGUUCAGAAAUAAAAUCUUCAAGAUUUCCCCCGUCCGCAUAUUCCAUUAUAAUAUUUACUUCUUCACUUUUCACUAGAACUUCUCGAAAAGAUAUAAUGUUCUCAUGUCUCAAAGAAUAUAAACUAGCUAUUUCGUUUUUAAUAUACGUUUGUUCAUUUAAAUUUCCCCUGAAUUUCAAAAGUUUUAGAACAAGUAUUUCAUCUGUAGCCGGCGAACUUACUUUAUAGAUUUCUCCAAACCUACCAUCACUUAUCUUGCCAAUUACUUUGUAAGUUUUUCUUUCCAUUCAAUAAUUUUAGAUCUAACUUCCGAAUGUUGAUGUGGUUGUUUAAAUUGUUUUGCGUAUAUGCAAAAGAAAACAGAGAGUAAUUAUACCAGGUAAAAAGACACGUGGUUUGUUGUUUAUGUAGAUGCAAGUGAUUG
rnacentral:lncRNA from 1 species